ensembl:lncRNA
AUGAGGAGGAGGAAGAGUCGUGCUGGAUUAAGGAGCGCCUCCAGGCCUUCCUGCACUGGCUGCAGGGUCUGCAAUGGGUCCAGCGCCUCUGCAACAAAAGGCAACCAACAGUGACGUGUUUUCAAACCGCUGCCCACAUCUGUACCUUUCUUCACCUUUCACCCUUGAGUAACGCUGUCUGUUACUACGCAGACAGGAGAGCUGCUACACCACGCUAACUAGGGGAUGCAAUCAUACCUUUUGUGUGUAGGUGCACUGCCCCAAAAGCACAGUUGGAUCUAAAUGAGGACCAUGAUGAUCCUCAGCAUUUAUGCUAAUCUCAAAUGGCCCCUCAAAGUGGGGAAACCAAAUGUUUGCCCCAAGUCACGGCAUGCUGCAAAAACUGUGUGUGUUUGUGUUCUUUCUUCCCUUUUAAACUUAUGAUGAUGAAUAGCAGCGUUCUUCAGAAGUGAAUGGAAAGUCUGUACUUCCAACCAGCAAAGGUUGACUUGCGUGAGAAGAGGAGGGAUCUCUUCUUUUCUUCGGGGUCCAAAGAGAAAAACACCGUUGUUUCUGCACUUCCUUCCCGGUACAGAGAGGCCGGGUAGUGCUGGUAUUUAUAGUCUCAGGGAUGUCAGGGCCGUACCUCGGGGACACCCCAGGGGGACAACUUGGUGCAGAGUUUGGGACAAAGAUCCCCGUAGGCGAGGUUACCAUCAGGCUUUGAACAUGACAGCUCCUGCAGACCCGACUCUGUGGUUCAACUCUACGGUGCAGACCAGCAACUACACACACACGCACACACACACACACACACACACACGCACGCAUUGACUCACUACAGAGGUGCAGUUGAGGACCUUUAGACUAGGGGACUUAUCAGAGCAUGUCCAUGCUUCCACAGCGUUUUCACAACAUGAAGAACGUUUAGUCCGGUCAUGAAAGCAAAAUCACAGGUGGAAAUAACACAUUUCAACUUUAUCUCUCAUAUUUCCCAAAUCAAGAUGUCUGCUGUGAUGCUCAGCAUCAGUCAUCCUGGAAACGAGUUCAGCUACGUCAAAAAAUCCUCCUGACGUAGAAAAUAUCCAUGUUUGAAUUAGCACUAAAUGAUGUUGCUGGUCCCUUCUGUGGUUACAGUUUGAUCCCAGUUUAGUCUGAACUAUACAAACAACACGGGCUGCCAUUUUAACACACAACAGAUGCUCCCAGCCCACAUACAGCCGAGUAUGCUGGGUUUGAAUACAUGAGACAUCCAAUGCAUCCGGAGCUUGCAGCUGAAGCUUCCCCAAGCACCACAGCCGGAGGUGACGGCGGAAACGCCAGAGCAGGACCGGUGAGACCAGGAUAGGUGAGAGCAGGACAGGUAAGACCAGGACAGGUAAGACCAGGACAGGUCAGAGCAGGACCGGUGAGAGCAGGACCGGUGAGAGCAGGACAG